rnacentral:rRNA from 1 species
CACGUAGGGCGCAAGCGUUGUUCGGAUUUACUGGGCGUAAAGGGCGCGUAGGCGGUCAGCACAAGUCAGUUGUGAAAUCUCCGGGCUUAACUCGGAAAGGUCAACUGAUACUGUGCGACUAGAGUGCGGAAGGGGCAACUGGAAUUCUCGGUGUAGCGGUGAAAUGCGUAGAUAUCGAGAGGAACACCUGCGGCGAAGGCGGGUUGCUGGGCCGACACUGACGCUGAUGCGCGAAAGCCAGGGGAGCGAACGGG